CCAGAUGCUCUGGGGCAUCUGCGGAGUGCCUCCCAGAUGGGGCCGCAGCAUGACAGAGUCUAACCACCCGCUUCCACCCGCCCUGCGAGGCUUUUAUUAGCCCACUGCAUCUCUGAGAGCUAUUUUUAAAAAUCGCCCUCGGGCUCACACAUUUGCUUGGGUCCAAAGGUUGUGAUGAAACCAGCUUGUGGGAAGUUUGUAAAGUGCUCUCCUCGCGGAGUCGACUUUCUCACUCUGUUCGGAGCCAUCUUCCUGGGGACUGUGUGCAAGUGACAGUUUCCACCCGGUUUGAAAACUGACGGGGCCUCUCUGGUGACCUGGUGAGCAGGAGGAGCGAUCCCACCUGUGGCCCCAUGGCUGGGCAGCAUCGGGGUUUUGACAUUGUGCUUGCCUGUGAUCAGACGGGCAGGACAGCAGCCAACCUUGCUGGCCCAGGGUCCUUGGCGAGCUGCCGAACUCAGGGACUCGGUCUCCCCAACUGCAGGACGGAGGCAUGAGGUCUAAGACCCGACGCGCUCCUGAACUCCAGGCUGUCUGGCUUUGGACCCAGGACUCACAUCCCUCCUGGGCCCCAGCCUCCUACUUGAGCAGUCACACUAUCUGCUCCCUCGAUCUGGGGCCUUCACACUUGGACAGAUCUGCGGUUCUGGCUCAGCUCUCGGCUCACAUGAGCCCAACCCCUGUGGGAUCUCCUGUGUAUAUCUGCAGGCAGCCUGAUGUCGCCGAUUGGCAGCAUGGCUAUAGGAAGGGCCAGGGUUUCUGCCUGGGCACCGGGUCCUCAGCAGGCCUCACCCUUGGGCCCUUCCCCUUGGAAAAGCAGCUCAGUAGUGCAGAGACCACCCUAGAAAGGCGCUCUAAAACAACCUCUUCAGUCAGCUUCUCAGGACGCAGAGAUGCCAGAGGCACCUGCAGGAGAAACCCAACUGGAAAGUGAAAUGACUGUGAGAAAGAAAAGCCGAGAGGCAAUUAGGAGCUGUCCAUCUUCAACUGCAAAAUCACGCCGUGGUGCUCCGCCUCAGCACGCCCGGGACGCAGCCAUCAUUCUUGCUGGGGGAAAGAGGCCCACAGAGGUUGCUGGGAAAGGUCGUGGCUGCUUCCUGAACCGGGCAAGUCUCGCCUGUGAGAGCAAAAGCACCAGCGGAGCAGGGCAGGGCUGGCACCCUCCCGCCGUCUCCGGCUACUCCCUUGCUGCGCAGCAUGGAGACAGGGUGGGGGCAUCACGCCUCUUCCUUCUGCUCCACUGACCCGGGACCUGGCUGCACAGGGUGCAGCUGGGGAGGAGGCAGCGUGGAGGCAGCAGAGCUAGUGAGGUCAGAGGCCAGCGGGGCAGGAGACGCAUGGCGCUGCGCGUGCACGGCAGCGGGUUCCUAGUCCUGGAGGCAGCGUCCCACGCAAGGGCACCUGCUUCUGCCCUCAUCUGUCAGCAGAAGAAAAAAGUUCCCAGGAGUCAGAACCCCAGGUCGAGUCCUGGUGUGUUAUUGGCACAGAGCACGUUGGAGCCUCUCCGAGCCUCAGUUCCUCUUCUGUAAAAGUGGCCACGGCGACCUAGCUCAUGAGGUGGUUGUGAGGACUGUGUGGGGAGCCAGGGGAGGAGCUGCAUCGUCUGUGCCCAGCGCAUGGUUUCCUGGCAGGGAUGCGUCCUGGGGAGAAGGCGGCUGUGGCUGCUUCACCCACACCCACGGACCGUCUGUCCGUGGCUCCCGGUGGUCCCGCCCGGCUCCUGGCCUCAGUGAGGCGUAUGCAGGGAUCACUCUGGGGAGAGGAGAGUGGAGGCUCCCCACCCUCAACUGCAGCCCCAAGAGCUCCUGCCUUCCGUCUCAGGGGCCUGCUUCUCCCACAGAGCAGCAGAGGUGGACGAUGCUGGAGAGGCACCGUUGCCCUUUGGCUGGACAUGCUGCUGGGGAAGAGCAGAGCAGUGCGUCUUAGUCAGAGCUGGGGCCACAGAGCGCCACAGGGUGCCACAGGGUGCCACAGGACACCACACGGUGCCACAGAGCACCACAGUGUGACACAGAGCGCCACACGCUGGGCCAUUUGUAAAGAACAGAAGACUUUUCCCCUCAGUUCUGGAAGCCGGAAAGCCAAGGUCAGGGCACUGGCAGCUGAGGCUUCCUGGCAAGGGCUUCCGCGCUGCACUCUCCUGGCAGAAGGCAAGAUGAGGAACAGAGGAGGGAGCCCAGUCCUGCCAGCCCCUGACCCGGGGCACUGAGCCACGCAGGGCCUCAGGACCCAAGCACGUCCCCUCGGGUACCUCCGCCUGGCACUGCUGCGCUGGGAACUGAGUGCCAGCAUGCUGAAGGACAUGUCAAAGCUCGCCGUGCAGGAGGCCAGCAACGUCCAGACUGGGGAACCCAACAGAACACCUCAGGAGAUGAGGGAGACAGGAGGGCGGGACCUCUGGCUCCAGAGACGCUUGGAGUCACACCAACCAAUCGGGAUUAGGGAUCUCGGGUUCUGUUCAAACAAACGGUUAAAAGGGGGAAAAGUGAGACCCCUGGGUAAUCUGAAUAAUGACCGGACAUUUGACCAUAGUGCGGAAUGAGCCUUCCGUUUUACAUAUGAUGACACCGUGGUCACUUGUAGAAACGAGGGCUUCUCGGCAGAGAUCCAAGCCACGGUGCUUCCAGGAGGGAUGAGAUGAUGCCUGAAAUUUACUUCAGAGUGAUCCGGGGAGGCACCGGUCACUGCCACUGGGCCACAGG